UGAGCAAUCUGCCCUUCUCUUCGGAAUAAGCGUGGGAAACCGCGUCUAAUGCCGAAUACGACCUCCUUUCGCAUGAUCGGAGGUGGAAAGCUCCGGCGGAGAAGGAUGAGCUCGCGGCCUAUAAGCUAGUUGGUGAGGUAACGGCUCACCAAGGCGACGACGGGUAGCUGGUCUGAGAGGAUGGCCAGCCACAUUGGGACUGAGACACGGCCCAGACUCCGUAGGGAGG
rnacentral:rRNA from 1 species